GAUGAACGCUAGCUACAGGCUUAACACAUGCAAGUCGAGGGGUAGCAGGGUAGCAAUACCGAUGACGACCGGAGCACGGGUGAGUAACACGUAUCCAACCUUCCCAUAACGCGGGGAUAGCCUUUCGAAAGAACGAUUAAUACCCGAUAGUACUUUUUAAAGGCACAUGGAAAAAGUUAAAGAUUUAUUGAUUAUGGAUGGGGAUGCGCUGCAUUAGAUAGUUGGUGAGGUAACGGCUCACCAAGUCUUAGAUGGAUAGGGGUUCUGAGACGAAGGUCCCCCACAUUGGUACUGAGACACGGACCAAACUACUACGGGAGGCAGCAGUGAGGAAUAUUGGUCAAUGGGCGAGAGCCUGAACCAGCCAAGUAGCGUGAAGGAUGAAGGUCCUAUGGAUUGUAAGCUUCUUUUAUAGUAGAAUAAAGUGAUCCACGUGUGGAUUUUUGUAUGUAUACUAUGAAUAAGGAUCGGCUAACUCCGUGCCAGCCGCCGCCGUAAUAC
rnacentral:rRNA from 1 species